rnacentral:rRNA from 1 species
UACGGAGGAUCCAAGCGUUAUCCGGAUUUAUUGGGUUUAAAGGGUGCGUAGGCGGAUUGAUAAGUUAGAGGUGAAAUGUCCGAGCUCAACUCGGGAACUGCCUCUAAUACUGUUGAUCUAGAGAGUAGAUGCGGUAGGCGGAAUGUACGGUGUAGCGGUGAAAUGCUUAGAGAUCAUACAGAACACCGAUUGCGAAGGCAGCUUACCAAUCUAUAUCUGACGUUGAGGCACGAAAGCGUGGGGAGCAAACAGG